rnacentral:misc_RNA from 1 species
GGAAGGCUCUGCACGGUUGCCAAACACCAUACCUGCACCAUAUCAGUUUGCUGAUUCUGUUCCAUCUGCUGCCCUUGCUCAUCCUUCACCCUCCUUGUACUGGAAGAGAUAGUUUUGCAUUGGGCAGGCAUUAUUUCUAACGUAGUUUCCCUUUUGUAAUAUACCCAAUCUAGAAUUGAUCUCGCACGCAUGGUCUUGGAGAAGGUUGUAGUUCAUUAGCUACUAUAAAGCUCUGGUGAAUGUUCGGCCUAGCAUAGUGAUGUCUAAAUUCUACCUGGAAAACUUUCAUUUGUUUGGAAAGAUUUCAAAAAUUACAAUAAUUUUUUAAAGAGGUAAAAGAGAUAAAUAACUUAUCGACUUCCCUUUGGUUUCUCCUCCCUUCCAACAAACAUGAUCUUCUA